rnacentral:rRNA from 1 species
UGGACAAAGACUGACGCUCAGGUGCGAAAGCGUGGGGAGCAAACACGAGUAGAUACCCUGGUAGUGCACGCCGUAAAAGAUGUUGAUUUGGAGGUUGUGUCCCUGAGGAGUGGUUUCCCGAGUUAAAGCGUUAAAUCGACCCCCUUGGGGAGUACCGGCCGCAAGAUUAAAACUCAAAUUUUUGUCGGGGGCCCCCCACCAAACCGUGGAGCACUUGGUUUACUUUGAUUCAACGUGAAGAACCUCACCUUGUUUUGACAUCCGCAGAAUUUUUCGGAGAUG